CCCCUAGACGUUCUGGGCUGCACGCGCGCUACAAUAAUACGCACAGCGAGUAUCACCGAGCUCGAAAGGGCCAGGUAAACAAUAGAAAAGGUACUGUAAUGGUUAUAGAUCCUUGUAAUUAUUGAUCUUCAACGAGGAAUUCCUAGUAAGUAUGUGUCAUCAUCACGCACUGAUUACGUCCCUGCCCUUUGUACACACCGCCCGUCGCUCCUACCGAUUGGGUGAGCCGAUGAAACUCUCGGAUGUAGGCUAUUCAUAGCCCGCAGAAGAGAUUUGAAUCGUAGCGCUUAGAGGAAGGAGAAGUCGUAACA
rnacentral:rRNA from 1 species